rnacentral:lncRNA from 1 species
AAAAAAAAAAAAAAAAGGCAAUGGAAUAAGAUUCAUUAUAAUACAAACAGCCUAGUGUUCUGUUAUAGUGACAUGUUAUUAACAUGUACCAACCUGCCUGUCCCUGAAAAAGCUUUAGGUUUGUAGCCCUGAUGUGGACCCAAGCUCUUUACCUUCUUAUCUUAUUUUCCCAUCUAAAAAUUACUCGAGGGGUCUUUGGAAAUGUUCCUUCAUCAAAAUGUGGGACACCAAGAAUAUUUUCAUGUUUCAUUUAUUAUUUUAAAAGGUUAUUUUCUCCUGUGAGAUAAAUUGAGUUUUUUAAAAGGUAAAACUAGGUGAUUUCUCUUGUUUGGGUUCUACAGGCUAAAAAUUCCCUGAAGCGCAAAGCCAGAAACAGGUGCAACAGUGCCGACUUGGUUAAUAUGCACAUACUCCAAGGUAAGGCUGCAAGAAAUCAGACACCAAGAGAUGCUGCAGAAUGGUGGGCCAUUUUCCCAGAGUUACUUGUCUCUGUACAGUUGCUAAGCCCUCUUAAAAAUCUCCCUUGCCGUUACAAAGUGGUAGUUUCAAGUAAUCAUCUAAGCCUUCUAGGCCACGUAGAUACCCAAGUUGGGAAGCCAUAAAAUGGUUAAGCGGGUUAGAGACUUGGGCUCUAAUCUCAGCUGUGCGAUCUCCUAACUCUAAGGCCUGGGCAAAUCACAUAACUUCUAGGAGUGCAUGGAACACGUCCAACAUGUGCUGACAAUUAUUACUAAUCUGGAUCAUCACUCACUUUGGAAGAGGAUCACAGUUCCCUUGCUACCUCUGUAUUCUCCAGGUAAUUGAUUGUCCUUUGCUGAUGCCUUUACCUUCUGGUGUGCAGGGAAUACAAUCUGAGGAAAUUAGUGCUGAUCAAAGUAGGCCUAGUUCUGCCUUAGGGUGCCACCUCUGUGCUGGGGUAUGUGAGACAAGGCAAACAAACAACUAACUGGUCCCCAUAUUCUGACAUCUGCAUGCAGGAGGAGUGGCUUCUACUCCCGCCUCAUAAGUUGCCUUCCCUGAGACAGAAUCCCCGAGACCAUUGGUGCCCACCCUAAAAGAGGUCCAAUCCCUAAUUUGACAGUUACCUAUGAGAUAUUUGUUCCUUGAACACACACUGUAUUGGGUGUCUGCUAGGAGUUGGCUGCUCUGCCAGGCCAGUGGGUUCAACGAUGAAUAAGACACAGGUUUGUGCCCUCAGAGGGUCUCACAGUAUAACAGAGGACACGAGAAUCACAUUUACAAUCCAGCAUGAAAAGAAAGGAAAUGCCUGGUGUGGUGGGUGUAUGGAAGAGGAUCAAAGAAAAGAGCCAUCGGAAUCAGAAUGGACAGGGGAGGAGUGAGGAAAUGGGCUGGAACGUGAGGGCUGAGCCAGGUAGAAAAAGAUGGAAGGGGGUCGCAGUCUGAGGGAACAGCCUGCACAAGGCCUGCAUGCUAUUUCUCUAGAAUGUGGAUUUCCUUCCAAGACUGAACACUAGCUUUAAAGCGCACGAAAGACUCUGAAAUAUAUCCUGGAAAUUGUGAACCUUGGUUCUUUGAGUGACAUCAUUUGUUAUUUAUUCUGGCUUUCCAAGACUGACCCUUUUUCAACCCUAAAGUAGGUGGGAUAUUUUAAGACGGAGAACUGUUUUCAGGGUAGGGAAAAGAAAGAGGCCAAUGCUGAACUCAAGGGAAGGCUGUGUGGGAUGGGAGGCUUUGAUCUGCGUGAGGCAGCCAAAGGAUGCCAGGUGUCUGGAAAACAGAAAAAAGUCCCUCAAAGGGAGGUGACAGAAUUCUUACCUCCUUUGCAAUGGUGUCUACAAGCCUAGAAGCAGCUGCUAUGUCAGCACAAAAAUCACUGCUGCACAAAAAUCCAAACGAUGUCAUUUCAAAUGACAUACAGACCUUUCAGGCCGGGUGUGGUGGCUCACGCCUGUAAUCCCAGUACUUUGGGAGGCUGAGGCUGGCAGAUCAUUUGAGGUCAGGAAUUCAAGACCAGCCUGGCUAACACCGUGAAACCCCAUCUCUACUAAAUAUACAAAAACUUAGCCGGGUGUGGUGGUGGGCGCCUGUAGUCCCAGCUACUCAGGAGGCUGAAGCAGGAGAAUUGCUUGAACCUGGGAGGCGGAGGUUGCAGUGAGCUGAGAUCGCGCCACCGCACUCCAGCCGGGGCCACAGAGGGAGACUCUGUCUC